UUGGACACUCCAACAGUCCCGCCCCUCGCAGGGCCCGCCGCAGCCCCGCCCCAUCUUUCCCAUAGCCCCGCCCUCCCUUUCUCUAACUGUUUUCUCCUCUUUUGCUGGCUAGGCAAUUGGAGGAUUGAACGUAAAGCUGGGGAUUUCCGUAAAGCUGCUCUGAGCAGGCGCCGUCUCGAGAACAGCCUUUAUUCUUGAGCCGGGUGUAAAACUUGUCAGCGGUUCUAUUACAGAGUAAAAAAUAAUACUUGGAAGGAUAAAGGGAAGAGGUACUAUAUAUUAACUCUACAAUCAGACUGGGUUCCAUUCUACUCCCAAGAAUUCUGUUAUAAUGGAACUGUGCUCCUAAAGAAAGGAUGACUUUUGCUAUAUAUUAUACGUCAAUGAACUGGACUUGAAAAAUUAAUGUUAGAGAGUGUUACCAAACCAAAGUGGACCCACUCCUUGGUGACUUACAGGCAGACUACACCAGGUGGAGUUGCCUCACAAGGUCAACUAUUUGUACAAACAAGGAGAUCA